ensembl:lincRNA Gm26775 predicted gene, 26775
GGUCCAGUUACAAAUUUCUUUGUAGCUAAAAUCAAUCGGUAUGGAGGCAAUUAAGGAAAGAUUAGCAAACAAACUGAAGCUGCUUUUCGUCCAUUCCCCACAUUCCAAGCCAAGAGAAAAGGAUAAUAGCCUAAAAAGCAAAUGGGAGCUGAAGCUGGUUUCUCCAACCUAUCUGAAAAGUCUUUAUGCAAUCAGAGGGCUAUUAUUUCAGGAGACAGAGUGAAGGGGGCAAAAGAUUCACGUUGCUAAGGAGAUCUGCUGAAGCUGGCAUUCCUACAUAAAUUUCCAUUUCUAUUGAAGGGAGAAAGAAAAGAUAUUUUUUCCAAAGUUUAUUUGGAGCCCCUGGUUACCAAAGAAAGGCAUUUUGUGGGUUUAUUUUAUCUUCAGUUGUAAACAACUAAUCCUGAAAGAAUUAAAAAGCCUGAGUGUUGACCUCCUGCUGCCAACCAGUCCCCUUCACUAUGAAUCAAUCAACAAAGAAAGCCUUCAAUAGGUAUUCUGAGGUAACAGCAAAGAAAAAGCCUUUGUAAGCACAAAAUUAAAUUUCUGGAAGAAAUUUAACUAAGUGAACUAAUUUCUCCUAUAACAAAAAACGUAAGACAAAGAAAAGUCGGAUUUGUGUGUGUGUGUGUGUUAGCGCGCGCCAGCANNNNNNNNNNNNNNNNNNNNNAAAAAAAAAAAAAAAGCACCCAGCAGAGCCUCCCUUUUACAUUCCUUAAUCUGUGCACACAGCAGCAGCUGAAGAAACAGAAUUCAAGUAGCAAUAGUUUUCAGCAAGAAAUUGGAAGUUGGCAAAUUCUUAGGAAUGGGACUCUGGAAAUGGGGUUAAAAACAAAACAAAACAAAAAAACAAAACAAAAACAAAAACUAGAGGAUCAGGAAGAGAAUAAAGCCACAAAGUCCCUUUGAGCUAGUAGCCACAAUGGCUACCGCCUACUCUACCCCGUUUCCCAUCCGCACACAAUUUUCACUGCUUGCUGAAUGAAGCAGAACUUUCCAGGCAACUGUGAGUAACUAGCUCAGAGAAAACGGAGUGGAAGAAAGGGGAGUUUCUUACUGUGGGAGUGAAAGAAAGGAAACUCAGAAGCAACAAUGGUGUCGCCAAAAAAGGAAAGAAAAUUCAUCAGUCUCUCCUGACUCUCGGUAUCCCUCCCCAAAAUUUAAAGGGGAAAUACACACACACACACACACACACACACACACACACACACACACACACGAAAAUUCACUCGGGAAAAGCCAGGUGUCUUAGUCAGGGUUUCUAGCCAAUACACCAGGUAAAGUGAAAUAGAAUAGGGGGAAAUGUGGGCCUUCAGGAAAACUUGGGCAAAUUUCUCUUAGAGGGUUGGAACAGAGAACCCACACAGAUUUGGAGCGUUUUACCCAUUUCUUUUCUAACGGGGGUGUGGAAGGCAUUGCGUCUUUUACACAGCCACAUGGUUCUCGCCCUCAAUGAUAACAAUUGCCCAAAAUAGCAGACGUGUUACUCCAAAACUGGAGGGAUGAGCAAGGGAGGAGUAGAGGGCGUAGGAGGUCUCUGGAGUCUUGCCUACCCGGACCCCUUCGAGAGAGGGGCACAUGCAAGAGGGUCCUGGGGUCCAAGGGCCGAGAAGGUAGGGCAAGGAGGCAGGGAGGGGAGCGAAGGAAAGUGGGGGAGGUGGCUCCCAGAGAGGCGGUGGCAGCGGAGGAGCCCAGGAUGGCCACGCGGGAGCAAGGGGCGCGGCACCGGAGGUGGGGUGGGGGCGCUCACCGCUGCCGAGAGUGGAUUCGCAAUGCCAGAUAUCCAGGUUGGCGGGUUUCCGGCAGGACUCCCACAGGGACAGGUAGUACUGGUGGUCCGCGGUGACCCAGGCCGGGCUCAGAACAGCUCCCAGAUCCAGACACAGCGCCAAGAAGAUGCACACCAGCCCGACCAGCUUGAGCGGGGUCAGCACCGACACUCGCACCUCUUCCAUGCCGCUGCCAGCCGAAGCCAUGCCCGGGCGCCGCUGCCGCCCUUCCCGACGCAAACGAGGACGCCAGGAGGGUCCGAAGAGCCUGGAGCGGGACCUCCCGAACAGGAAAGCGGCGCUAACCGCGCCAAGAAGUCGUACCUUGGGUCUCAGUUAAGCACACCGAGUGGUCAACUGGACUUGCCUAGCUGGGACGCCUGGCCCUAAGGAGGUCGUCCGCUGCUGCAGCGACAGCAAACGCAGAGAGAAUCUUCAGCAAGCGAUC